AGAACUGUCAAACAAUUUUUAAAAUCUACUAAAAUGUAUGAAAGUUGGCCUAGUGGCAGCUUUACUUCACUUGCUUAAAGCGCUUUAAAGUAUCGAUUAGCCGAAAUCUCUAUUUGACAGCGCGCUGUAGGCUUUUGACAACUCUUGACAUUUCAAUUUUUCGCGUCGAUUUUGCUUGUGUGCAGUUUUUAUCGCGUUCUUCAUCAAUUUUAGAUACCUUGCUUUUUAUCGUUCCGGCCACCAGAUUCUUUGGUUUUCAUAAAGUUUCAUUUGGCUGUGCCACUUCCACCCGUGUUUAUAAGGCGUAAUAUUCAACUGGAGAUACCUUGCUUUUUUAUCGUUCCGGCUGCUGUAUUAUCCGAUUCUUGUGUGUUGGUUGGUUUAUCGGAAGCUUUAGUGCAAGAUGUUAGAAAUAGAAGAGCAAGAAACCACUGCCCCAACGCCGGCUAAGAGACAAAAGAAAAAAAACGAUGAGAACGCCGCCUUUAACGAUCUAGUCAACGAAGUAAGUCAGUUUGUGGAUAGUCAAAAAAAAAAACACACACACAACAAUUUCUUGGGUGCGAUUGGCGAAGUGUUUGAGAAGGUCCCAGAAGAGAGCCGCCUAGAUUUUCAAAUGGACGUACUUCAAUACGUCUAUGCUCAAUAUAAAAAUUAUAAAAAUUGAAUUUACGAAAUUUAAAAAUUUAAAUGACAUCCAGUUUGAUUUCAAUUUUGCGAACUUAAUAUGUAAUCUAAUUUAGUAUGAAAUCUGAUUUUGAUUUUGCGAAUUAAAUAUGUAAUCGAAUUUAAUAUGCAAUCUCACAGAAAAUGCUUGCUAUAAUUUCAUUGUUUCUAAUCAAACACAAUUGUACAUUUUUUUAAGAAAAUAUUCAGGAUAUUAUUCCAAACGCGUGGUUUUCGAUGCAAGUUUACGAGGCUUACGCGGUUACGAGACAUUUAAAUAAAUUUAAAUAAUUUAACUUAAAAGACUGAAUGAAAUAUAUGUUAUGUUAACGCCAUACUUACCUUGAACAAAAAUUAAUUUAAAAACCUGAAAGAUGUGACGACAUUUAAAACAUUACCAAUAAGUGCCCUCAUACUGUGAGUUCAAAUUUUUGUUUUCUAUCUUAAAUAAUAAAAACAAAGCAUAUUC